rnacentral:lncRNA from 12 species
GUGUAGCACAUGUUGUGGGAAAACUAGUCUGGCUGGUUCUACCUCAGCUCAAUCUUUGAGGGCAAUUUUUGCUGUCAGCCAUACCAGGGAAUAUUAGAGUAACCGUCGCCCUGAUGCCAGGUCCCUAUUUCAGAACGCAUAUGCACACGCACAUGUACACACAUGCACACGCACACACACUCAGAGUCACUGGAAAAUUAUAAAUUGACAUAACUUUCUAGAUGGCCUGAGGACUUCAGAGAGUUAGAGAAGCAUCAAUCAGAUAAAACCUGUGUCUGUCACCUAUGUUUUAAAAUGUUACAGUCAUGUUUAAAUAGCUGGCAGCCCCCUGCUCCCUGCCUGAAUGCCGUGAACACAAUCUUCAGCACACCUUGUCAUCAGAGGAACUUUCUGGAAGCCAGCCAGCUGCAGGGCCCAAGGUCAAGCAACCACCAUGACUCUCAGCAAACAAGGAGAACCUUGGGGGACCCGAGGAGGGAAAGUUUGGCAUUUAAGGAAAUGCACUGAUUCUUCCAUGUAUAAAAAAGAAAAAGACAUCAUGGGGGACAACCUUCUAAGAUAAAGGCUUGACAUAAGAAGACCUAGGUUCUGGCUUGGCGCUGUUGCUAAUAAACUGUAACACUGACAA